rnacentral:rRNA from 1 species
UGGGGAAUAUUGGACAAUGGGCGAAAGCCUGAUCCAGCCAUGCCGCGUGUGUGAAGAAGGUCUUCGGAUUGUAAAGCACUUUAAGUUGGGAGGAAGGGCAGUAAGCGAAUACCUUGCUGUUUUGACGUUACCGACAGAAUAAGCACCGGCUAACUCUGUGCCAGCAGCCGCGGUAAUACAGAGGGUGCAAGCGUUAAUCGGAAUUACUGGGCGUAAAGCGCGCGUAGGUGGUUCGUUAAGUUGAAUGUGAAAGCCCCGGGCUCAACCUGGGAACUGCAUCCAAAACUGGCGAGCGAGAGUAGGGCAGAGGGUGGAAUUUCCUGUGUAGCGGUGAAAUGCGUAGAUAUAGGAAGGAACACCAGUGGCGAAGGCGACCACCUGGGCUCAUACUGACACUGAGGUGCGAAAGCGUGGGGAGCAAACAGG